rnacentral:rRNA from 1 species
GAUGAACGCUGGCGGCGUGCCUAAUACAUGCAAGUCGAGCGAACGGACGAGAAGCUUGCUUCUCUGAUGUUAGCGGCGGACGGGUGAGUAACACGUGGAUAACCUACCUAUAAGACUGGGAUAACUUCGGGAAACCGGAGCUAAUACCGGAUAAUAUUUUGAACCGCAUGGUUCAAAAGUGAAAGACGGUCUUGCUGUCACUUAUAGAUGGAUCCGCGCUGCAUUAGCUAGUUGGUAAGGUAACGGCUUACCAAGGCAACGAUGCAUAGCCGACCUGAGAGGGUGAUCGGCCACACUGGAACUGAGACACGGUCCAGACUCCUACGGGAGGCAGCAGUAGGGAAUCUUCCGCAAAGGGCGAAAGCCUGACGGAGCAACGCCGCGUGAGUGAUGAAGGUCUUCGGAUCGUAAAACUCUGUUAUUAGGGAAGAACAUAUGUGUAAGUAACUGUGCACAUCUUGACGGUACCUAAUCAGAAAGUCACGGCUAACUACGUG